rnacentral:rRNA from 1 species
GAUGAACGCUGGCGGUAUGCUUUACACAUGCAAGUCAUACGGAAGCUAGUUUCGGCUAGCUUCAGUGGCGGACGGGUGAGUAACACGUGAGAAUUCGCCUUUAGGAGGGGGAUAACAGGGGGAAACACCUGCUAAAACCCCAUAUGCCUUCGGGUCAAAAGAGUAAUCUGCCUAAAGAGAAGCUCGCGGCUGAUUAGCUAGUUGGUGGGGUAAAGGCCUACCAAGGCGACGAUCAGUAGCUGGUCUGAGAGGAUGAUCAGCCACACUGGAACUGAGACACGGUCCAGACUCCUACGGGAGGCAGCAGUGAGGAAUUUUCUGCAAUGGGCGAAAGCCUGACAGAGCAAUACCGCGUGAGGGAAGAAGGCUUACUGAGUUGUAAACCUCUGUUACCUAAGGAGGAAGAUCUGACGUUACUUAGGAGACGAAGCGUCGGCUAACUCCGUGCCAGCAGCCGCCGUAAAAC